AUUGAACGCUGGCGGCAGGCCUAACACAUGCAAGUCGAGCGGUAGCACAGGAGAGCUUGCUCUCCGGGUGACGAGCGGCGGACGGGUGAGUAAUGUCUGGGAAACUGCCUGAUGGAGGGGGAUAACUACUGGAAACGGUAGCUAAUACCGCAUAACGUCGCAAGACCAAAGAGGGGGACCUUCGGGCCCCUUGCCAUCAGAUGUGCCCAGAUGGGAUUAGCUAGGAGGUGGGGUAACGGCUCACCUAGGCGACGAUCCCUAGCUGGUCUGAGAGGAUGACCAGCCACACUGGAACUGAGACACGGUCCAGACUCCUACGGGAGGCAGCAGUGGGGAAUAUUGCACAAUGGGCGCAAGCCUGAUGCAGCCAUGCCGCGUGUAUGAAGAAGGCCUUCGGGUUGUAAAGUACUUUCAGCGGGGAGGAAGGUGUUGUGGUUAAUAACCACAGCAAUUGACGUUACCCGCAGAAGAAGCACCGACUAACUCCGUGCCAGCCGCCGCCGUAAGAC
rnacentral:rRNA from 1 species